rnacentral:rRNA from 1 species
UACGGAGGGUGCGAGCGUUGUCCGGAAUCACUGGGCGUAAAGGGCGCGUAGGCGGUCUGCUAAGCGUGCGGUGAAAGCCUGGGGCUCAACCCCAGGUCUGCCGUGCGAACUGGUGGACUAGAGCACUGUAGAGGCAGGUGGAAUUCCGGGUGUAGCGGUGGAAUGCGUAGAGAUCCGGAAGAACACCGGUGGCGAAGGCGGCCUGCUGGGCAGUUGCUGACGCUGAGACACGAAAGCCAGGGGAGCAAACGGG